rnacentral:rRNA from 1 species
GAUGAGCGCUGGCGGCGUGCCUAAUACAUGCAAGUCGAGCGAACAGACGAGGAGCUUGCUCCUCUGACGUUAGCGGCGGACGGGUGAGUAACACGUGGAUAACCUACCUAUAAGACUGGGAUAACUUCGGGAAACCGGAGCUAAUACCGGAUAAUAUAUUGAACCGCAUGGUUCAAUAGUGAAAGACGGUUUUGCUGUCACUUAUAGAUGGAUCCGCGCCGCAUUAGCUAGUUGGUAAGGUAACGGCUUACCAAGGCAACGAUGCGUAGCCGACCUGAGAGGGUGAUCGGCCACACUGGAACUGAGACACGGUCCAGACUCCUACGGGAGGCAGCAGUAGGGAAUCUUCCGCAAAGGGCGAAAGCUUGACGGAGCAACGCCGCGUGAGUGAUGAAGGUCUUCGGAUCGUAAAACUCUGUUAUUAGGGAAGAACAAAUGUGUAAGUAACUAUGCACGUCUUGACGGUACCUAAUCAGAAAGCCACGGCUAACUACGUG